rnacentral:rRNA from 2 species
AAAUUGAAGAGUUUGAUCAUGGCUCAGAUUGAACGCUGGCGGCAGGCCUAACACAUGCAAGUCGAACGGUAACAGGAAGCAGCUUGCUGCUUUGCUGACGAGUGGCGGACGGGUGAGUAAUGUCUGGGAAACUGCCUGAUGGAGGGGGAUAACUACUGGAAACGGUGGCUAAUACCGCAUAACGUCGCAAGACCAAAGAGGGGGACCUUCGGGCCUCUUGCCAUCAGAUGUGCCCAGAUGGGAUUAGCUUGUUGGUGAGGUAACGGCUCACCAAGGCGACGAUCCCUAGCUGGUCUGAGAGGAUGACCAGCCACACUGGAACUGAGACACGGUCCAGACUCCUACGGGAGGCAGCAGUGGGGAAUAUUGCACAAUGGGCGCAAGCCUGAUGCAGCCAUGCCGCGUGUAUGAAGAAGGCCUUCGGGUUGUAAAGUACUUUCAGCGGGGAGGAAGGUGUUGUGGUUAAUAACCACAGCAAUUGACGUUACCCGCAGAAGAAGCACCGGCUAACUCCGUGCCAGCAGCCGCGGUAAUACGGAGGGUGCAAGCGUUAAUCGGAAUUACUGGGCGUAAAGCGCACGCAGGCGGUCUGUCAAGUCGGAUGUGAAAUCCCCGGGCUCAACCUGGGAACUGCAUUCGAAACUGGCAGGCUUGAGUCUUGUAGAGGGGGGUAGAAUUCCAGGUGUAGCGGUGAAAUGCGUAGAGAUCUGGAGGAAUACCGGUGGCGAAGGCGGCCCCCUGGACAAAGACUGACGCUCAGGUGCGAAAGCGUGGGGAGCAAACAGGAUUAGAUACCCUGGUAGUCCACGCCGUAAACGAUGUCUACUUGGAGGUUGUGCCCUUGAGGCGUGGCUUCCGGAGCUAACGCGUUAAGUAGACCGCCUGGGGAGUACGGCCGCAAGGUUAAAACUCAAAUGAAUUGACGGGGGCCCGCACAAGCGGUGGAGCAUGUGGUUUAAUUCGAUGCAACGCGAAGAACCUUACCUGGUCUUGACAUCCACGGAACUUUCCAGAGAUGGAUUGGUGCCUUCGGGAACCGUGAGACAGGUGCUGCAUGGCUGUCGUCAGCUCGUGUUGUGAAAUGUUGGGUUAAGUCCCGCAACGAGCGCAACCCUUAUCCUUUGUUGCCAGCGGUCCGGCCGGGAACUCAAAGGAGACUGCCAGUGAUAAACUGGAGGAAGGUGGGGAUGACGUCAAGUCAUCAUGGCCCUUACGACCAGGGCUACACACGUGCUACAAUGGCGCAUACAAAGAGAAGCGACCUCGCGAGAGCAAGCGGACCUCAUAAAGUGCGUCGUAGUCCGGAUUGGAGUCUGCAACUCGACUCCAUGAAGUCGGAAUCGCUAGUAAUCGUGGAUCAGAAUGCCACGGUGAAUACGUUCCCGGGCCUUGUACACACCGCCCGUCACACCAUGGGAGUGGGUUGCAAAAGAAGUAGGUAGCUUAACCUUCGGGAGGGCGCUUACCACUUUGUGAUUCAUGACUGGGGUGAAGUCGUAACAAGGUAACCGUAGGGGAACCUGCGGUUGGAUCACCUCCUUA